UCUUUUCCCUUGUCUGUUUUGUGCUAGGAAGGAGCUGUGCUGUGCUGUGCUGUUAAGAGUUUAGAGCCUGUUUUUUGCUUGACCAGGAUCCUGUGAAAAUAUGGGGACAGUAGAGAAGGUGUUUUGCAGAAUUUUGCUGCUUCUUUUACUACAGUGUGAAAUAGGUUGGAUGCAAGAAGCAGUAAAUUCUCCAGCUUUUAUAGAAAGUACCUGCCUCUCCAGCAUAUUUUGGGUGAAGCUAGACAAGUCCUUUCUUCAGAAGAAGUUUUUCAAGAUCGAAGUAAUUGGUGAGCUAUCUGAGAUGUUGGA